UCUAGUCAAGUUUUAGUCGACUAAAAUUCUUGCCAUUUUAGUCUUAUUUUAGUCAGACUUAUCCAUUACUAUUUUAGUCUAGUUUUAGUCGACGAAAACUGAUGACAUUUUAGUCUAGUUUUAGUCAGUGAUAUUGUAUUUAGUCUCUUUUUAGUAAUACAAUUCUAUUUAACCCAUAUAGUAUAAUGACCUAAUAGUAUUAUAGACAAAACAAUAUUUUCUUUUAGCCAAACCCAUUUCAAACAAAAGUUAUAUUGUUACCUUAUAAACCCAAGAAUACAUCCAUUCCAGACAUGGAAGAUGCUCUGAUUUGAAUAGAUAUUUAUUUUACUAUCCUCUGAGUGAGUGACUUGACUGUUCGUAAGAGUCUACAUAAAAGUCUACAUAAUCAAAACAAAAGUAGUCUAAGCAAACACACACACACACACACACACACACACACACACACACACACACACACACACACACACACACACACACACACACACACACACACACAAGGUCAAAUGGGUCACACACAACUAUAGUAUGUGUGAGAAUAGAAAUAUGCUAUUGUUAACAUUUAUAAUUGUAUUUUGACAGCAGCACAAACUACAAUCAUACAUAUGUAAUUAUAUAUUAUUAUAGUUUAUAUUUCUGCAUCUGUACGUUACCACCAGUGUACCUAAUGGACUUUGGCUUAAUCUAAUGUGACAAAGCUGAUCUUAAAUGUCAGUAUAAAUUCAAGCAAUUUUGGAGAAUUACUUAAUGUUUUUCUUGUAAGAAAAUUAAAAGUCAGCUUUAAGAAAACAUCAGAUGUCUAUUAAGAAAAGCAAAGUUGGUAUGUAUGGUUAUGUUCUCAACAGUACAGGUGUUUGAUUGAUUUAAUACUCAAGUAUUCAGCGAAGUAUGUUUUGUUUAUUUAAAUAAUAAAUAAGUGUAGUUAUUAAGCAUAUACAAAACAACGAAUGUCUUUAGCAUAGAUUUACAAUGUUUCAAAACGCAACGCAGCACAAUGUCAUUUAAACAACUGUUACAUGAUAUACAUUUGUACAUUGUUAUACUGGUGGUGUCAGCAAUCAAAGCUAUAGAUUUUAACAGGCUUGUUGAACUGACCUGAAAGUGAUGCACUGGAUUUAUUUUGGACUUUUCUUUUACAUUUGGAGCCAGAAUGCUGCAUCUUCCCGGUCGGAAUCGCCGCGCGGCUACAGCGUUUCUCAUGUAGUGGAAGCGUUUUGUGCAGCAUUUAGUGGAAAUGUGUUUAUCUUCAACAGCGACUGCCAUGAAGAGUCGUGUCCGUAAAAAGGAGAGGAUUUUAGGUGCACGAGCAAGGCUUGUGGACCAUGGGCGAGGCUAGCCCCUUUUUAGGGGUGCUUCAGCACCCCUAAAAAGGAGCUCAGCACCCCUAAAACUUGGAGCAAGAAAUUUAUUUAUUCUAAAAUGUUCGUUCGCCUUUGACAAGGUUAAAUAAUGUCCAAAGCAUACUCCGUAGUUUGUGGUUUAAAAUGUAUAUGUUAAGGUAGAAAAUGAAAACCUUCCCGCUUAGCAAAUGGUGUCAUCCUCUUCUUUUACUUCUCUGUACCAUCGCUUAGCCCGAGCGCGAAACACACGCAGAGAGAGAAUCAGUUAAAAGUGUUGUGAUGCAACUUUUUUGUUCAAAUCUUACAAAAUGUUUACGUUAUGUUUAUAAUGAGCGAGUACAUCACGAAUCAAUCUUUCAAGCCGUGUUUUUGUCUUAUACUGAAUCACCAUGGUACACGUAUAAUAAGUGUUUAUUUUCGGAUUAUUUUAGUCCGGCGGGUACACUACCCGCCCGCUGCGGAGUAGUACAUUAUCUGGGUGACUCGUCCAUAGACUUAAACGGAGAGAAGUAGCGCCGGUUCCAAUGUUCUUCCGCAAGACGCAUGCAGUUUUGUGCGUCUCAGUAAGUAGUUGCAUACGUGUGUCUCCGUUGUUAAAGUUUAUUGUAUGAUUUAUCGUUAAUUUGAGACUUAUUUUAACAAUCGGGAGUCAUGUAAACAUGACGUCACGUGCGUCUUUUCUGGUCAGUCGUCAUGAAAACAUGGCGUUUGGAACAGAGUGAAAACAAACUACAUAUCACUGUAUACCACCAGUACCGGAGAUUUGCUUUACAAGAAGAAAUAAAACAUGAAUGUGACAAACUACUUGACAAGCAAAGACGGAUUUGUAGUUCAGUUAGAGGAGGAAAAUCCUGAUCAUCUGAGACAUCUUUACCUGACUGAAAAAAAACGAUCUGUCCUGAUUCUCCCCUGCUUAUGAUCCACACAUCCAAGGAUGAUGUACAAAACACCUGAAUGUCCAAGAGAAACAGUACUGAUGCUCAGGAGAAAGGACAGCUUUAUUGAAUGAACAUAGAAGAUAAUGAGAAGAUAAAGGAGGAGCUGAGAGGAUAAAGAGAGG